GUGGGGAAUUUUGGACAAUGGGCGCAAGCCUGAUCCAGCAAUGCCGCGUGCAGGAAGAAGGCCUUCGGGUUGUAAACUGCUUUUGUACGGAACGAAACGGUCCUGGUUAAUACCUGGGGCUAAUGACGGUACCGUAAGAAUAAGCACCGGCUAACUACGUGCCAGCAGCCGCGGUAAUACGUAGGGUGCGAGCGUUAAUCGGAAUUACUGGGCGUAAAGCGUGCGCAGGCGGUGCUGUAAGACAGGCGUGAAAUCCCCGGGCUCAACCUGGGAAUUGCGCUUGUGACUGCAGUGCUGGAGUACGGCAGAGGGGGAUGGAAUUCCGCGUGUAGCCGUGAAAUGCGUAGAUAUGCGGAGGAACACCGAUGGCGAAGGCAGUCCCCUGGGCCUGUACUGACGCUCAUGCACGAAAGCGUGGGGAGCAAACAGGAUUAGAAACCCGUGUAGUCC
rnacentral:rRNA from 1 species